UUUUCUGUUAUACACACACAUUUAAUAUAAAACAUUAUGGAAUACCUAAUUAUAAUAAAAGUAUUAUAAUAAUAUAAUAAAUAGUAUAUUAAAGCAAUAUGCAAUGCCUAAUAUAAAAUGUGAAAAUAUACCAUACAUUGUAUAUAGUAUAUAAGUAGAUAUAAUAACACGUUUUGUGAUAGAAAUGUUUAAUUGUCCCUUGGGGUAUUACAUUUAGAAGGCACACUACCAGAAUUGCUUAAAAUCUAACUUGAUAUUUUGAUAUAUGUCUGUGUAGCUAUUAUUAGUUGUCCAACAUUUAUUGAUAUCUUUCAAGCAACCAAAGAUCAAGUCCAUGUUAAAAUUUUGUUUUAUAUAUUCUUUGCAGUUCUUGGUCACAGAGGUAAGAUUUAAAUCUAUGUUCACUAAUUUAAGGUGUUAGUACAAAUUAUCUCUACUAAUAUCUCCUUUAUUUGUUUAUUUGUUUGAUAUUUCUUAUUUGUUCGAUAUUUCUGAGACCAAGAGACUGAGUUUAACAUGAUAAAAUUAAUUUCUAGGAAUACAUGAAUCAAGAAUGUUUUCUUAUUGGAUAUUCUGGACUCGUGUCCCAUUUGUGCCACCAUGAACCUGUGAAUUUUGUUUUAGUAAGCUUGCUGGUGAAAGGUUUAUUUCACAGGUUGUAUAAUCCAAGCAACAUAAAUGGUAAAAGAUGUAAAAACUCCCGAACUGGGCUCUCGCCUGCUCCCCGGCCCGGAGAGUAGAACUGCUGUUUCCCCGUUUGCUCUCCUGUCCAAACUGAUCAAGAUUUCUUCCCUAUGAAUGUGAGACAUGUUGAGUAAGAAGUUGCUGCGGCCAAGAUCAAAGAGGUUUUGGCCUGCUUUCUCCUCGAGGAUUUUGAUGGAUUCCUGACUUACAUUUAGGUAUUUCAUCCAUCUUGAGUUUAUUUUUGUGUAUGGUGUAAGAAAGUGGUCCAGGUUCAUUCUUCUGCAUGUCGCUGUCCAGUUUUCCCAGCACCACUUGCUGAAGACACUGUGUUUAUUCCACUGGGUAUUCUUUCCUGCUUUGUCAAAGAUCAGUUGGCCAUAUUUUUGUGGAUCCAUUUCUGGGUGCUCUGUUCUGUUCCAUUGAUCUGAGUGUCUGUUUUUGUGCCAGUACCUUACUGUCUUGAUGAUUACAGCUUUGUAAUAAAGUUUGAAGUCUGGGAUUGUGAUGCCUCCUGCUUUGGUUUUCUUUUUCAAGGUUGCUUUGGCUAUUUGGGGUCUUUUCUGGUUCCAUACAAACUUAGGAUUAUUUGUUCUAGCUCUGUGAAGAAUGCUGGUGUUAUUUUGAUAGGGAUUGCAUUGAAUAUGCAGAUUGAUUUGGGUAGUAUUGACAUUUUAACAAUAUUUGUUCUUCCUAUCCAGAAGCAUGAAAUCUUUCUCCAUUUUUUGGUGGCUUCUUCAAUUUCUUUCAUAAGCUUUCUAUGGUUUUCAGUGUAUAGAUUUUUCAACUCUUUGGUUAAAUUCAUUCCUAGGUAUUUUAUGUAUUUUGUGCAAUUGUAAAUGGGAUCAAUUCCCUGAUUUCUCUUUCUGUCGCUUCCUUGUUGGUGUUUAGGAAUGCAACCGAUUUCUGUGCAUUGAUUUUAUAUCCUGAAACUUUGCUGAAUUCAAAAAUCAAUUUAGCAGUUUCUUGGUGGAAUCUUUCGGGUUUUCCAUAUAGAGUAUCAUGUCAUCUGCGAAGAGUGAAAGUUUGACCUCCUCCUGGCCAAUUUGGAUGCCUUUUAUUUCUUUGUGUUGUCUGAUUGCAGAGGCUAAGAUUUCCAAUACUAUGUUGAAUAACAGUGGCGAGAGUGGACAUCCCUGUUUUGUUCCUGACCUUAGGGGGAAAGAUCUCAGUUUUUCCCCAUUGAGGAUGAUAUUAGCGUUGGGUCGUUCAUACAUGGCUUUUAUUAUCUCGAGGUAUGCUCCUUCUAUCCCUACUUUCUUGAAGGUUUUUAUCAAGAAAGGAUGCUGUAUUUUGUCAAAUGCUUUCUCUGCAUCUAUCGAGAGGAUCAUAUGGUUCUUGUCCUUCCUUUUAUUGAUAUGAUGAAUCACGUUAGUUGUUUUGCAGGUAUUGAACCAGCCCUGCAUCCCAGGUAUAAAUCCCACAUGGUCAUGGUGAAUAAUUUUUUUAAUGUAUUGUUGGGGCCAGUUGGCUAAUAUCUUGUUGAGGAUUUUUGCAUCCAUGUUCAUCAGGGAAAUUGGUCUAUAGUUUUCCUUUUUAGUAGGGUCUCUGUCUGGUUUUGGAAUCAAGGUAAUGCUGGCUUAACAGAAAGAGCUUGGAAGUUUUCCUUCCAUUUCUAGUUUUUGGAACAGCUUCAAGAGAAUAGGUGUUCACUCUUCCUUAAAUGUUUGGUAGAAUUCACCUGGAAAGCCAUCUGGCCCUGGACUCUUGUUUUUUUAGGAGACUUUUGAUUAAUAAAUCGAUUUCCUUACUGGUUAUGGAUCUGUUCAAAUUUUCUGUUUCUUUCUGUUUAAGUUUUGGUAGUGUAUAUGUUUCUAGGAAUUUGUCCAUUUCUUCCACAUUGCCCAUUUUAUUGGCAUAUAAUUGCUCAUGAUAUUCUCUUAUUGUUUUUGUUUCUGCUGUGUUUGUUGUGAUCUCUCCUCUUUCAUUCUUGAUUUUAUUUAUUUGGGUCCUUUCCUUUUUCUUUUUGAUCAAACUGGCUAGUGGUUUAUCAAUUUUGUUAAUUCUUUCAAAAAACCAGCUUCUGA